CCUACGGGGGGCAGCAGUGGGGAAUAUUGCACAAUGGGGGGAACCCUGAUGCAGCGACGCCGCGUGAGUGAAGAAGUAUUUCGGUAUGUAAAGCUCUAUCAGCAGGGAAGAAAAUGACGGUACCUGACUAAGAAGCCCCGGCUAACUACGUGCCAGCAGCCGCGGUAAUACGUAGGGGGCAAGCGUUAUCCGGAUUUACUGGGUGUAAAGGGUGCGCAGACGGCUGUGCAAGUCUGGAGUGAAAGGCGGGGGCCCAACCCCCAGACUGCUGUGGAAACUGGAAAGCUGGAGUGGAGGAGAGGUAAGCGGAAUGCCUAGUGUAGCGGUGAAAUGCGUAGAUAUUAGGAGGAACACCAGUGGCGAAGGCGGCUUACUGGACUGCAACUGACGUUGAGGCUCGAAAGCGUGGGGAGCAAACAGGAUUAGAUACCCCAGUAGUC
rnacentral:rRNA from 1 species